CGCGUCUGCCGUGAAAGUCCGAGGCUCAACCUCGGAUCUGCGGUGGGUACGGGCAGACUAGAGUGAUGUAGGGGAGACUGGAAUUCCUGGUGUAGCGGUGAAAUGCGCAGAUAUCAGGAGGAACACCGAUGGCGAAGGCAGGUCUCUGGGCAUUUACUGACGCUGAGGAGCGAAAGCAUGGGGAGCGAACAGGAUUAGAUACCCUGGUAGUCCAUGCCGUAAACGUU
rnacentral:rRNA from 1 species